GAGCGGCGGACGGGUGAGUAAUACUUAGGAAUCUACCUAGUAGUGGGGGAUAGCACGGGGAAACUCGUAUUAAUACCGCAUACGACCUACGGGAGAAAGGGGGCAGUUUACUGCUCUCGCUAUUAGAUGAGCCUAAGUCGGAUUAGCUAGAUGGUGGGGUAAAGGCCUACCAUGGCGACGAUCUGUAGCUGGUCUGAGAGGAUGAUCAGCCACACCGGGACUGAGACACGGCCCGGACUCCUACGGGAGGCAGCAGUGGGGAAUAUUGGACAAUGGGGGAAACCCUGAUCCAGCCAUGCCGCGUGUGUGAAGAAGGCCUUUUGGUUGUAAAGCACUUUAAGCAGUGAAGAAGACUCUGUGGUUAAUACCCACAGACGAUGACAUUAGCUGCAGAAUAAGCACCGGCUAACUCUGUGCCAGCAGCCGCGGUAAUACAGAGGGUGCAAGCGUUAAUCGGAAUUACUGGGCGUAAAGGGAGCGUAGGUGGCUCGAUAAGUCAGAUGUGAAAUCCCCGGGCUCAACCUGGGAACUGCAUCUGAUACUGUUGAGCUAGAGUAUGUGAGAGGAAGGUAGAAUUCCAGGUGUAGCGGUGAAA
rnacentral:rRNA from 1 species